AUUGAAGAAGAUGCCCAGAAGUGACAUGAACUUGGAGCUGCUUAUUGCUCUGGUAUCCAAACGAAAAAUGCUGUAUGAUAAACGAGACAUCGACUACAAAAAUGUUGACAAAAGGGAAAUGUUGUGGAGAGGAAUUGUGGAAGAAUUAGGAGUCGAUGCUGAGGAGGUUAAACAGAAGUGGAAAGCUUACGUGAUACAUACACACGAAAAAAGCGUGAAGAGGGAGAUUGUCGAAGUGGACAGGCCGCUAAAAGCAAGAAGCCGUGGAAGUACAUAAAGGCAAUGAAGUUCCUCGCAGCAUCCACAGAAUUUCGAAGUUACUCGCAUCAGACAAUUAAAUUACAUAUUGUUGUCCUAUCAGAUGUAAAAAAAAUCUAUAGUAAUUUAUUGUAACUACACCACCAUAGUAAGGUAAUUCAGUUAAUCUGCUGUGAUCAGUCUAUAGUUUCUAUUCACAAUAAAAAAAAUC
rnacentral:lncRNA from 1 species